UCGCAGGGGGACCGUGGGGACAGUCGACCGGUGGGCCGCUCUCCCCAAUUUCCGCUGUCUUCCCACCUACGCCUCCCUCCACCGCCUCCGCCGGCGGCAGAUGAAGCCCCGGCCUCCCUAUCGCCGGAGGCCGUCCUUCCCCCUCCCCCCGCGGGAGCACCCCGAGGCCGAACCCAAAGCUAAGUGACCUCCACACAAGUACAUGACGCAUACCUCCCUCUCUCUGAGCUGAGCGAGCCACACGGUGGUGAUUUUUUUUCUUGCUGGAAUUGCUGCUGGGCGACCGCUACGAGGGCGCCGGACAUCGGAUCCGGCAUUUCCUGCGUCGCCCGCCGCGUGCGCCGCCGGGGCCGUCAAGUACACCGACCGCGGGGAGAGAAGGGAGGACUUUGGAACUGAUGGAUGUGGAGGGUAUUUUGAUAAAUAUCGGUCUUCUGUUUGGUAGACACAUGGAAAAGCCUGUCUCUCUUGGUCCUGACUCCAGAGAGUUUGCAGCAUUGUGAUGACUAAUGCACAUUUCCUCCUCAAUCUUUAGAACCAUCUUUAGAGCUUCCUUCUCAAGCUUGUGAAGCCCUUUGCUUCCGCUUGGCGCACUUUUUAGAGAUGCCCUUCAGCAGGCCUCUUGGAUCCUGAUCUGAUGGGGUGUCUAUCUGUGGCGGCGGUGCUCUAGUUCGUCGAUCUUUGGCAGAUAAUAUCGCAGCAAUCCACAUCGCCGGCCCCGAUAGUUGGACCGCUGGAUGCAUUUGGUUGGAGAGAAACCGCCGGGGUUUCAAGAACAAAACGCUUCUCCCCCAUGGCAUAUUUGACGAAGUGUAUAGUCACUGCCCGGAAUGGUAGCCUAAAGGGAGUAUUCCCCUAGCGAGUUGAGUGUGUGGUGGUGUGCUUGAGGCUGCUAGCUUGUUGAUGCGUGGAGCAGAACUUGUAAAUUGAAUAUUUUUCUAUCUUAAUACAUAGGCAUGCAAUCUUUAUGCGUGUUAUCCCAAAAAAAAAGACACAUUUUCGAAGCUGUACAGCCUAGACACCGUCGAGAUUGUCUCCAGCAAAACAGAAUUUGACUUUA